GGGUCCUGGGGGAAAGGGUGUUGUUUCAAAAAAGAACAAGAAAAGCUCAGGGCAGUGAAUCACAUUUUGCUCAGGAAAACCAACUCAAGAGUGGAAGGAUGGAGAAGUGGCCACUAGCUUCACUAGCAAUCUUUUGGCUGCAGCUGAGCUGGGUGAGCAGUGAAGACAAGGUGAUACAGAGCCCCCCAUCUCUGGUUGUCCAGGAGGAAGACAGUGCAACUCUCAACUGCAGUUACCAAGUGACCAACUUUCAAAGCCUACUUUGGUUUCAGCAGCAAGAGAACACUCCUACCUUUCUGUUUAGACAAAUUUCAAAUGGGAUUCAGAAGUCAGGAAGGUUAAAAGGGACAUUAGAUAAGAAAGCACUUCUCAGCACCCUGCACAUCACAGCCACCCAGCUCGGAGACUCAGCUACCUACUUGUGUGCAGUGGAGGCACAGUGUGGUCUAGUCAGCUGCAGCCCGUCCCCAAAUACUACAACAGGCUCCUGUGACUGUUAGAUGGGGACCUUGCUAAAUCAGGCACAACCCCAAAAGUAAACUGUAAGGAAAAGCAACCAUCAGUUAAGACCCUCAUGCCCAUGUUGACAAUUACUUGUGGCUUACUGAGUCCGAUCCCUGCAUUCACUACCUUGUCUGUGCUUUUUAUGGACAUCUGCAUAACAAAUAUUUUUACAGGGUCACUCAUACAAUACCAACUCUAUAACAACACCAUCAUGCCCUGGGGGAGAAAGAAAGCCCUUUUGCCAGGAUUGCACCAGCAACUUGUAUGUGCACCACAAAUCAAGGACUGUACCUAACAGCAUGAUGGAUGGAAAGUCUGGUUGAUUUGGGUCAGCUAUUUCCACCUAGAAUAGGCACAUUUAUAGGUACAGUUCUGCCUGCCACUUUUCUUGCUGGACUAUUAGCAAAGAACAAAGGGUGGGAACCAGAAAACAUCAUUACUUGAUUCAAACAAAAGCUUUUCUUCGUCUCUUGCAGUGUUCUUACUUACUCCCUUCAUCUUUGGGUGGUUGCUUAAGCUAGGUGCUUCAUGAGGGUAGCUUUCUCGAGAACUUGCACAUUAAUUUGAAAACUUAGUGCCAGAAGCAGUCUCCCAAAAGAAGGAGGCUAGCUAAACUAAGUUAAUGCCAAGCUAACAUACACUUAGUUUAGCUCUAUUACGGUAUAUUUUUUCAGUG